rnacentral:tRNA from 1 species
CAAGACAAAAGGUCUGAGGGGGCCGCGAGAUUAGGGAGCUUGACGAGUUUUUCCUAUAAGAAAUCCGUGGUUCCACUUAGUGUGUUUUGC